GGAUUAGUGGCGAACGGGUGAGGAACACGUGAGAAACCUGCCUUUCAUUCUGGGAUAACACCGGGAAACCGGUGCUAAUACUGAAUAUUGAAACAUAAGUGGCAUCACUGAGUUUUGAAAGAAUUUCGGUAGAAGAUGACCUCGCGGCCUAUCAGCUUGUUGGUGAGGUAAUGGCUCACCAAGGCGACGACGGGUAGCCGGCCUGAGAGGGCGACCGGCCACACUGGGACUGAGACACGGCCCAGACUCC
rnacentral:rRNA from 1 species